rnacentral:rRNA from 1 species
UGGGAACGCGAAGAACCUUACCUAGACUUGACAUCUCCUGAAUUACCCUUAAUCGGGGAAGCCCUUCGGGGCAGGAAGACAGGUGGUGCAUGGUUGUCGUCAGCUCGUGUCGUGAGAUGUUGGGUUAAGUCCCGCAACGAGCGCAACCCUUAUUGUUAGUUGCUACCAUUUAGUUGAGCACUCUAGCGAGACUGCCCGGGUUAACCGGGAGGAAGGUGGGGAUGACGUCAAAUCAUCAUGCCCCUUAUGUCUAGGGCUACACACGUGCUACAAUGGCUGGUACAGAGAGAUGCUAAACCGCGAGGUGAAGCCAAACUUUAAAACCAGUCUCAGUUCGGAUUGUAGGCUGAAACUCGCCUACAUGAAGCUGGAGUUGCUAGUAAUCGCGAAUCAGAAUGUCGCGGUGAAUACGUUCCCGGGUCUUGUACACACCGGGUCUUGUACACACCGGGUCUUGUACAC